GAGUUGGUGGUCCAGUGAUAGUGUGGUAGAAGAGUUGGAUGAUGACAUUUUCGGAAGCUCCUUUUUCUUCUCUUAUAUUCGGUUUGAUGAUUGGUCUCUCUCGAUCUAUUGAGUGAUUGAGUGAUUGAUUGAUUGAUAGAUGGACAGGUUAACCACCCACCACCUUGGAUAUACUUUUUUUGAUUUGUAUGAGUGUUCAUUGUGAUUUUCAAUUCACCUUGAUUUUUCGUUGUGCAUACUUAAACUUCAAACUAAACAUGCUAUGAAAAAUACAAUUAUGGGAACCAUCAUUUUGACUAAUAGAAAACUGAUGUGUUUGAUUUUCUGUUUGCAUCAAUGCUAAUUAGAUAAAUAAAAAGAAUCUAGAAGCAACAGAACAGAUUUGAUUCAAAACAGAAAUUAGCAAAACUUGAGAACAAAUAGAGAAAACCUAAAUUUUGAUAGGCUGAGUUCAAUUUAGAUUAAUUUUGAGUUCAACGGAAAUCUGAAGACAAUCAUUCUACUCUACCUGCCAUGCAUAUAUGUCAAAUAAAAUAGUAAAUUUUGAAUCUCACGUCUAUUUAUGAUCGGUGGCCUGGGAAGCUCAUCAGCUGCAGAUCUAGCAGGCACAGAGAACUGAGAGAAGUUACUUGUUGCAUUUGUGUGGUUCAUAAGAAAAUUUGGAGACGGGUUUGGCAUCUCCCCCUGCAAGUAAAGAAUCACCAACCAAACAUGAGGAUCAACAUAUAAACUCCCUAUCUCUUGGCAUUAAAAUUUCUUAAACAGAAAUUAAUUGUUAUAUGGAAAAUGAUCUCAGACACUCUCGUACAACGCAAACAUCCAACAGACAAACACCUAGAGUGAGAAGAAAAUAGAAGGAAAAUAAGAUAUGAUAGAACGGAGAGAUAGAGAGAAAAUUGAGGUGUGUGCUGUAGGUAAUUUGAAUUUUUGAGUUUAUGAUUACAGUUGUUACAUACAUGACUUGAGGGUAACAAUAAUCAUAUAUCUUGUCUAGCUAUGCAUGCUUGCACUGAUUUAUCAAAGAGACGCAGAGUGAAGAGGAACAAACCGAAGUCAUGGAUUGUAGACAUUUACCAGAAGGUUAUGGGGUGGGGAGAAGAAAGAGUGACCCAAAUGAAAUUGAUUGGGUGAUGGCAGCAGCAAUGCCCUCAUGUUCACCGGAAGGAGGUUAGUGCAAUGACCACAUCUCACAGUCACAGUCUUGAACAAGCUAGUGCUAGGAACACUCACCUGAAAUGAUGAAGAGGAAAUGUUCAAUGCACAACAACAUUUGAGAAACAAUGAACAAUUUAUAAUAGGGAAGAAAAGCCCUAGCUAGCUAGGAAAGAAUAAAGUUGGAAUAAAAAUGAAUGAUGAUGAUGUUUGAGUUUUUCAUAUAUACAGCUAGGAUGGUGUCACAUAUGUUGCAAUGGACAUAACAAAGUUGCUCGGAAGGAGGGAGUUGGUGGUCCAGUGAUAGUGUGGUAGAAGAGUUGGAUGAUGACAUUUUCGGAAGCUCCUUUUUCUUCUCUUAUAUUCGGUUUGAUGAUUGGUCUCUCUCGAUCUAUUGAGUGAUUGAGUGAUUGAUUGAUUGAUAGAUGGACAGGUUAACCACCCACCACCUUGGAUAUACUUUUUUUGAUUCUGAGUUGUGAAAGAAAGGUG
rnacentral:lncRNA from 1 species